AUACGUAGGGGGCGAGCGUUGUCCGGAAUGAUUGGGCGUAAAGGGCGCGUAGGCGGCCUGUUAAGUCUGGAGUGAAAGUCCUGUUUUCAAGAUGGGAAUUGCUUUGGAUACUGAUGGGCUUGAGUGCAGGAGAGGUUAUCGGAAUUCCCGGUGUAGCGGUGAAAUGCGUAGAGAUCGGGAGGAACACCAGUGGCGAAGGCGGGUAACUGGACUGCAACUGACGCUGAGGCGCGAAAGUGUGGGGAGCAAACAGGAUUAGAUACCCUGGUAGUCCACACUGUAAACGAUGAAUACUAGGUGUAGGGGGUAUCGACUCCCUCUGUGCCGCAGUUAACACAAUAAGUAUUCCGCCUGGGGAGUACGGCCGCAAGGUUGAAACUCAAAUGAAUUGACGGGG
rnacentral:rRNA from 1 species